AACGCACAUUGCGCCCGCUAGUAUUCUGGCGGGCAUGCCUGUUCGAGCGUCAUUUCAACCAUCAAGCCCCCGGCUUGUGUUGGGGACCUGCGGCUGCCGCAGGCCCUGAAAUCCAGUGGCGGGCUCGCCGUAGCACCGAGCGUAGUAGCAUACUUCUCGCUCCGGUAGCAGCGGUGGGCGCCUGCCGUAAAACCCCCCUUAAAAUCUCAAGGUUGACCUCGGAUCAGGUAGGAAUACCCGCUGAACUUAA
rnacentral:misc_RNA from 2 species